UACGUAGGGGGCAAGCGUUAUCCGGAUUUACUGGGUGUAAAGGGAGCGUAGACGGCUGGCCAAGUCUGAAGUGAAAGCCCGGGGCUUAACCCCGGAACGGCUUUGGAAACUGGCCGGCUGGAGUGCUGGAGAGGCAGGCGGAAUUCCUGGUGUAGCGGUGAAAUGCGUAGAUAUCAGGAGGAACACCGGUGGCGAAGGCGGCCUGCUGGACAGUAACUGACGUUGAGGCUCGAAAGCGUGGGGAGCAAACAGG
rnacentral:rRNA from 1 species